rnacentral:rRNA from 1 species
AUUGAACGCUGGCGGCAGGCCUAACACAUGCAAGUCGAGCGGUAGCACAGAGAGCUUGCUCUCGGGUGACGAGCGGCGGACGGGUGAGUAAUGUCUGGGAAACUGCCUGAUGGAGGGGGAUAACUACUGGAAACGGUAGCUAAUACCGCAUAAUGUCGCAAGACCAAAGUGGGGGACCUUCGGGCCUCAUGCCAUCAGAUGUGCCCAGAUGGGAUUAGCUAGUAGGUGGGGUAAUGGCUCACCUAGGCGACGAUCCCUAGCUGGUCUGAGAGGAUGACCAGCCACACUGGAACUGAGACACGGUCCAGACUCCUACGGGAGGCAGCAGUGGGGAAUAUUGCACAAUGGGCGCAAGCCUGAUGCAGCCAUGCCGCGUGUGUGAAGAAGGCCUUCGGGUUGUAAAGCACUUUCAGCGGGGAGGAAGGCGAUAAGGUUAAUAACCUUGUCGAUUGACGUUACCCGCAGAAGAAGCACCGGCUAACUCCGUGCCAGCAGCCGCGGUAAUACGGAGGGUGCAAGCGUUAAUCGGAAUUACUGGGCGUAAAGCGCACGCAGGCGGUCUGUCAAGUCGGAUGUGAAAUCCCCGGGCUCAACCUGGGAACUGCAUUCGAAACUGGCAGGCUAGAGUCUUGUAGAGGGGGGUAGAAUUCCAGGUGUAGCGGUGAAAUGCGUAGAGAUCUGGAGGAAUACCGGUGGCGAAGGCGGCCCCCUGGACAAAGACUGACGCUCAGGUGCGGAAGCGUGGGGAGCAAACAGGAUUAGAUACCCUGGUAGUCCACGCCGUAAACGAUGUCGAUUUGGAGGUUGUGCCCUUGAGGCGUGGCUUCCGGAGCUAACGCGUUAAAUCGACCGCCUGGGGAGUACGGCCGCAAGGUUAAAACUCAAAUGAAUUGACGGGGGCCCGCACAAGCGGUGGAGCAUGUGGUUUAAUUCGAUGCAACGCGAAGAACCUUACCUGGUCUUGACAUCCACAGAACUUUCCAGAGAUGGAUUGGUGCCUUCGGGAACUGUGAGACAGGUGCUGCAUGGCUGUCGUCAGCUCGUGUUGUGAAAUGUUGGGUUAAGUCCCGCAACGAGCGCAACCCUUAUCCUUUGUUGCCAGCGGUCCGGCCGGGAACUCAAAGGAGACUGCCAGUGAUAAACUGGAGGAAGGUGGGGAUGACGUCAAGUCAUCAUGGCCCUUACGACCAGGGCUACACACGUGCUACAAUGGCAUAUACAAAGAGAAGCGACCUCGCGAGAGCAAGCGGACCUCAUAAAGUAUGUCGUAGUCCGGAUUGGAGUCUGCAACUCGACUCCAUGAAGUCGGAAUCGCUAGUAAUCGUAGAUCAGAAUGCUACGGUGAAUACGUUCCCGGGCCU